GAUUGCUAAAUGGCUUUGCAAUAUUACGAUUCCCAAUACAUUAUCUUUGAUUAAGAUCAAAUGAAGAGAAUGAAAAGAAGGGGGAAAUGUCCAAUCAAUUAGUUGGAACGGGGAAAAGUAAUGGAACUUUGCUGGUAGAAAAGAAGUGCAGCAGAAGCAAUGAAUUACAGCAUCUGUAUACAUUAGUGCUCUCUGGAUGACAUAAAAUCUUUCUUUCAUAAAAUGCUGUAGCCCUGGGCUUAAAAUAAACCUGAUUUCAAUUGGAAUUUAUUCUGAGAAGGACAAAAAGGAGGAUUAAAAAAAAACAUCAUUUGGGCUGAAGACAAACUUAAUGGACCAGUGAAGAUGCUACCUGCAGAAUGUGUCACAAGGAAGAUUGAUUGUGCAUGUCAUCCUUGAUAUGAAGACAUUUAAAUGAAACCACAGCCUUCUCCCUGCAUCAGCCUGGCUUUCUGCAAAGCAAAAGUGCCACUUGAAGAGGCCAUUUCUUUA